UACGUAGGGUGCGAGCGUUGUCCGGAAUUAUUGGGCGUAAAGAGCUCGUAGGCGGUGUGUCACGUCGAUCGUGAAAACUUUCAGCUUAACUGGGAGCUUGCGGUCGAUACGGGCAUCACUGGAGUUCGGCAGGGGAGACUGGAAUUCAAGGUGUAGCGGUGAAAUGCGCAGAUAUCAGGAGGAACACCGGUGGCGAAGGCGGGUCUCUGGGCCGUAACUGACGCUGAGGAGCGAAAAGCGUGGGGAGCGAACAGG
rnacentral:rRNA from 1 species